rnacentral:rRNA from 1 species
GACGUAGGGUGCGAGCGUUGUCCGGAAUUAUUGGGCGUAAAGAGCUUGUAGGCGGUUUGUCGCGUCUGCUGUGAAAUUUCGGGGCUCAACCCCGAACUUGCAGUGGGUACGGGCAGACUAGAGUGUGGUAGGGGAGACUGGAAUUCCUGGUGUAGCGGUGAAAUGCGCAGAUAUCAGGAGGAACACCGAUGGCGAAGGCAGGUCUCUGGGCCGCUACUGACGCUGAGAAGCGAAAGCAUGGGGAGCGAACAGG